rnacentral:misc_RNA from 1 species
UUCAUGUCGACCUGUUUUACAAGCUUCAAAGGAAAAUUUUCAUCCACCAUAUGCACAAAAAACAUAUUUUAAAAAGGGGUCACCAAAAGAAAUGGUUCCUAACCUCACCACCAAGUGCCCUUUUUUUCUGGCUUUGGUAACUAGCAGUUAUGGUUUACCAUCUGCAUCUAAACAUAUAGUAGCAAUAUACUGUAGAAUCCACGAACAAGCACCAACUGAUGCACGUAUUCAAACUUGGCGUAAAGCCAUGCCUACCUUUUCUUUUCAUCUUUCUCAAAUUCUUCAUAGAAUUCGUCGUCGUCAUCGUCAUAAUAUUCUUCGUUGUCUUCAUCGUCAUAAUAAUAUUCUUCAUCAAGGUCUGAAUCACUGUCCUUGCCAUUUGAUAGAUAUUUCUGCUGCUGCGCCCCCAUCAACCGCUCUUGAAUUCGAUCUCUGAUGGCUGUGCCCAUCUUAUGACAACCUUCUUCAAACAUCUCUAGAAACCCAGCUACCCAGCGAUCAGCAUUUUCUACCCAUUCAUUCCUGUGCAUGCCGGCAGUUUUUGCAACUGUUUGAAUCUUUUCUCCCACUUUUUCUUGAUGCUCCUUAACUUUCUCCUGUAAUUUCUUCAAUCUCAUAUUUACUCUAAGCCGUUUUUCCUUCACAAAGCUGACUCCAAGCUCUUUCCUUGAAUAACCACGGUCCAAAUUGCGCAGUACAUACUGAUUAUAAUCUUUAACAAUCCUCAUGAUAAUGUCUGAAGUUGAGAUUCCUUCUGUCCUUUUUGUUUCCUUGAACUUUCCAAUCUUUUUAACAAAUUCAUAAACAUCCUUCCCAGCUCCGGUAGCAUCAGCAUAGGGCAGAGAAUCAUGGGCCACAAAGUCAAUCUUGUGCUUGUCAAUAAAUUCUUGAGAGAUCACCCAGGGUGCAUCAGGAAUCACUUCAUCCACCCACUUGCAAUGGCGAAGCGAUUCAUAUCGUUCAGCUUCAGUCAUAACAGUUUUCCCUUUAAACUUAUGGGUAAUCUCAUCGUUGCAACAUCCAACUAGCAGAAAGGUAUUCGGGAACGAUUUCUUGGCUUGCUCAAGAGAGCGAGCGUGACCAAAAUGGAAGAGAUCGUAGAUCCCAUCAGCGUAGACUCGAACUGGACGGUCCGUCGGCUGAUCGGAAUUCGAAUGGUUUUGAGAACCGUUGAGAGCGGUGGUGGUGGUGGUGGUGUUGGUAUAUGGGCAAGUAAAAUAUGAACAUUGGAUGAUUUUAUAAGCUCGAGCUUGACGAGUUUCUUCAUCGAAAUUUCUGGUUGGGAAAAUAUGCCAAGGCGUUGGGUCUAAGUUGUGACCUGCCACCGUCUUAAUGCGCGAUACGAAACUAUCUACCUGGUAGAGGAAAAGAGCGGUGAGAGAGAGCAAACCGAUGAGAAAAGGGAGGAAAUAAGAGGGAGGGCGAGCUGCUGAGAUCCUCAACGGAGCACCCAUUGGAGGAGGAGAUAAGAUUUUUGUUACAGUGGUGUUUUCGAGGCAUUGUGUAAGGAAAACUUUCCUUGUUUCGCUUUUUUUGUCUAGUGGCUUUUGGCUUCCCCCUUUUCCAUUGGUU